rnacentral:rRNA from 1 species
CCAUGCAAGUCGAGCGGGCGUAGCAAUACGUCAGCGGCAGACGGGUGAGUAACGCGUGGGAACGUACCUUUUGGUUCGGAACAACACAGGGAAACUUGUGCUAAUACCGGAUAAGCCCUUACGGGGAAAGAUUUAUCGCCGAAAGAUCGGCCCGCGUCUGAUUAGCUAGUUGGUGAGGUAACGGCUCACCAAGGCGACGAUCAGUAGCUGGUCUGAGAGGAUGAUCAGCCACAUUGGGACUGAGAUACGGCCCAAACUCCUACGGGAGGCAGCAGUGGGGAAUAUUGGACAAUGGGCGCAAGCCUGAUCCAGCCAUGCCCCGUGAGUGAUGAAGGACCUAGGGUUGUAAAGCUCUUUUGUGCGGGAG